GAAUUAGCACCAAUCUUUCACAAACUCUUCCAAAAAAUUGAAGAGGAAGGAACACUUUCACAUUGAUUUUAUGAGGCCAAUAUUACCUGAUACCAAAGCCAGACAAAAACGCCAAAAAAAGACAUC